rnacentral:rRNA from 1 species
UGGGGAAUAUUGCGCAAUGGGGGGAACCCUGACGCAGCCAUGCCGCGUGAAUGAAGAAGGCCUUCGGGUUGUAAAGUUCUUUCGGUAUUGAGGAGGGUUGAUGUGUUAAUAGCACAUCAAAUUGACGUUAAAUACAGAAGAAGCACCGGCUAACUCCGUGCCAGCAGCCGCGGUAAUACGGAGGGUGCGAGCGUUAAUCGGAAUAACUGGGCGUAAAAGGGCACGCAGGCGGUUAUUUAAGUGAGGUGUGAAAGCCCCGGGCUUAACCUGGGAAUUGCAUUUCAGACUGGGUAACUAGAGUACUUUAGGGAGGGGUAGAAUUCCACGUGUAGCGGUGAAAUGCGUAGAGAUGUGGAGGAAUACCGAAGGCGAAGGCAGCCCCUUGGGAAUGUACUGACGCUCAUGUGCGAAAGCGUGGGGAGCAAACAGGACUAGAUACCCUGGUAGUCCACGCUGUAAACGCUGUCGAUUUGGGGGUUGGGGUUUAACUCUGGCGCCCGUAGCUAACGUGAUAAAUCGACCGCCUGGGGAGUACGGCCGCAAGGUUA